rnacentral:lncRNA from 1 species
CAACCCGGUUUGAUUUGCAUUUGAACUUGCACUCGCCCGUAGGAAGAGAAUAAGACUAGGUUUCGAUGAAGUUCUUGGAAGGCGAAGGCCAUGCGGUGAGUGGACGUGAAUGGCGCUGAUGAUGAUGGAACACCAACUCCUCCUCAGCACCCGCAGCUUUUCCUUCCUUUCCUCCUCCGCCUCCGCCUCCGUUUCCUCCUCUGUAGUAGUAAAUCAGCGAUGAGUUUUCCGAAAAACUGCCGUCACAUCUACACCAUGCAAGAGUACGAUGAAGAAGCGGGCGACGGGGAAAGCGAGCGCCUCCUUGUCGUCGGAGACGAGCGCAUCCUCGCAGCAGACGUCGGCAGCGACAGCGGUGGUCCCCACUCACCGGGCCACCGUCCACGACCACCAGCGUGGCGUCGUCCACCAAUUCCUCGUUCCCAAGGUACUAAAAAAAAAGGGAAAAAAAAGAGCUAAUCGAAAAUCUUCUUGUUUUCUCAACAUGUAAUAUUAUCAGCCGAUUGUUUCCAGGACCAGUACAUACUCCACACUGCCUAGUCGUGGAACAUUUCCCUGCCCUUCGCCUGCCGCCAUGGUAUUUCCAUUUCCCCAAACUUCUUCCUUACGGUUCCUUCCUCCGUACACUGGGCAUAAGAAAUAUUAGGGUUAACUGCCUUUGCCGAACUUGUUGCUUUAGUCACUCACCGUUUAAUUUUGCAAUUUAAUCUCUAAUAUUUGCUAGUUAUUAGUUCGUUGCAUCCUUUCUAGCGGAAAUUGCUAAAAUCAACACCAAAAUGUUUGCCGCUUCACCACCAAAUCUUGCCACAUGGCAAUUUCCAUAUGGUUCAUUGGAAAAUUUUAACCGAAUGACUUGAUUAAAACAAAAAAGGGCUUUUUUUGCAAAUGGCCUCCUGAAAAAAUUUUAUUUUAAAACUAGCCCCAAUAAAUUUAUAAUUGUAAAAAUGACCCUAUCCCUACCACGCAGGCGCCACGUGGGCACAGCCUGCUUGGCAAGUUGAACAUGGUGAAUCAUUCAUUGUGUUCAAACACGGUGAAUGGUUCACUGUGUUCAAACACAGUGAAUGAUUCACCAUAUUUCAUAUUUAUAUUUUUUUCUUCUCAUUUUCAAUAUUUAUAUAUAUUUUUUCUAGACACGGUGAACCAUUCACCGUGUUCAAACACGGUGAAUGAUUCACCGUAUUCCGUACUUAUAUUCUCCCUAUUAGGGAUAUCAACGGGUCGAGUUUGGAUCGGGUUUUCAAAAACCCGAAUUCGAACCCAAAAAUCAAAUUAAAACCCGAACCCGGAUCCAAACCCGAUGGGUUUUAAAAAUCCAUACCCAUAUCCAUCCCCGACCAAAAACCCGAAACCCGAAUCCGGACCCGAACCUGGUGGGUACAGUUGGAUGAAGAUCUAAGGAAUAAAAAUUAUUAAAAAUUUUAUAUAUUGUAUAAAUAAAUAAAAAUAAAUUAUGUAUAUAAAUAAUUUAUUCGGGUUUGGGUUCGGAUAAUAUUUCGGGUAUCCAUACCCAUUGACAUCCUUACUCCCUAUUCCUUUAUUUUCUCUAGACAUGAUAAAUCAUUUACCGUGUUUGAACACGGUGAAUGGUUCACCGUAUUCAACUUAACACCCUCACCCAGCCUCGCUCGCAUGGCGCUGACGCGGCGUCUGCGUGGCAGGGUCAAGGCCAAAAGUAUAAAUAUAAAUUUGUUGAGACUAUUUUUAAAAUAAAAUUUUUUUUAGGGGGCUAGAUGCCAAAAAAAAGCCCAACAAAAAAUGAAACAAAAAAAAUUGGGUACAAAGUUCACCAAUGGUUGUAUUAAUCUGAAAUUUUUUUUUUCCUUUAAUAGAGUCUAAAAGCUUUUCGUCAGGUUAUGCUCAACCGAGUUCCCAGCCUCUACUAUGUGAUGCAAACCUCAAUCGUGAUGAUGGAACCCCAACUCCUCCUCAGCACCCGCAGCUUUUCCUUCCUCUCCUCCUCCGCCUCCGCCUCCGCCUCCUCCUCCGUAGUAGUAAAUCGACGAUGCUUUUUCCGAAAAUCCGCCGCCACACCUUCACCUUGCGGGAGUACGAUGAAGAAGCGGGCGACGGGGAAAGCGAGCGCC